CUAGUGAGUAACGUAUGGCAUAUUCCAAAGUUCAGUGGCCAAAACUCGACAUUUUAAAUUUCAACGAGCAAUCGAAGACAUGGACCUAAGUUCAGUAAGCAGUCAAAGACAUGGAAUGAAGUUCAGUGACCAAAAGUCGAUAUUUUAAACUUCAGUGACUAAUCAAAGACAUGAACCUAAGUUCAGUGACCAUUGGAACAAUUAACUCUCAAUCUUCAGGUAGGAAUCCUAUAUAUUAAGCCUUAAUUCAAUUGUAUCUGAUAAGCUCCCAUCCACCUCACUCAUUCUUAAAGAAACAAGAAGGAUUGAGAAGCAACUAGAAGAAUGGAGAAUAACAGUACUCUGUUACAUGGAAAAUGGGGGGAAAGUAGUUAUGAAAUAGCUAUAAAUAGGAGGGGAGAGAGGUUUAGUAAGAGGGAAAAAUAUUGAGUGAGAAGUGAGGCUAAGGAGAGUGUAGUCCUCUCGAACGGCUACCUGUUAUCUUUCUUUUCUGUAAUCAUUUUUUUUUUUUUUUUUUUUAGCUUCAAUCAAAGUUUAGCUUAUUCAUAUUCUAUUCUAUAUUUUCCAAAUAGAAUCCUAUCAUUAUCUUGUCAACAAAUUCAACAUACUUGCAACUAACUCACACGAGUAGUCCAUAUGUAUCCAUUACGGUCUUCACCAAAAAGUUAACCAAAUCUGAUUUAGUUACAAUUGUUUCUUGCAAUCUCAUAUAAUCCUUUUCAUCUUCUUCAUUGAUCAGUUAUAACAACUUCACAACCUCCAAAAUCAACCCUGUCCAGUCCUCCACGGUCACCACCAGCACUCCACUCCAAUAGCAAAGAGUCAAAUCCUCCUCCCAUUAUGAUCACAUCAAUCCCCAAUCACCACCUCCAACCUUCCAGUCGCCCAUCUCCAAUACUAGUGCUACCGAUGAUACCAAACCAUCACUUAAGUCCUAUUGCACUGACAAUAGGGGCUCUGAAAAUUAUCAUCUUUAUACAGGGCUCCAUUUGUCAACAAC
rnacentral:lncRNA from 1 species